GCAAGUCGAACGGUAACAGAACUAGCUUGCUAGUUGCUGACGAGUGGCGGACGGGUGAGUAAUACUUAGGGAUCUGCCUCUGCGUGGGGGAUAACUAUUGGAAACGAUAGCUAAUACAGCAUAACGUCUACGGAACAAAGAAGGCUUUCGAGUUCUCGCGCAAGGAGGAGCCUAAGCGGGAUUAGCUUGUUGGUGAGGUAAAGGCUCACCAAGGCGACGAUCUCUAGCUGGUCUGAGAGGAAGAUC
rnacentral:rRNA from 1 species